GUGUCAGCCGCCGCGGUAAUACGGAGGGAGCAAGCGUUACUCGGAAUUAUUGGGCGUAAAGGGCGCGUAGGCGAUUUGACAAGUCGGUUGUGAAAGCCCAGGGCCUAACCCUGGAAGUGCAACCGAGACUGUUGAAUUUGAGUAUAGGAGAGGAAGGCAGAAUUCCCGGUGUAGCGGUGAAAUGCGUAGAUAUCGGGAGGAAUACCAGCGGCGAAGGCGGCCUUCUGGACUAUAACUGACGCUGAGGCGCGAAAGCUAGGGGAGCAAACGGGAUUAGAAACCCUGGUAGUCC
rnacentral:rRNA from 1 species